CUACGUGCCAGCAGCCGCGGUAAUACGUAGGGCGCAAGCGUUGUCCGGAAUUAUUGGGCGUAAAGAGCUCGUAGGCGGCUGGUCGCGUCUGUCGUGAAAACUUCCGGCUCAACCGGGGGCUUGCGGUGGGUACGGGCCGGCUAGAGUGCGGUAGGGGUAACUGGAACUCCUGGUGUAGCGGUGGAAUGCGCAGAUAUCAGGAAGAACACCGAUGGCGAAGGCAGGUUACUGGGCCGUUACUGACGCUGAGGAGCGAAAGCGUGGGGAGCGAACAGGAUUAGAUACCCUGGUAGUCCACGCCGUAAACGUUGGGCACUAGGUGUGAGGCUCCUUUCCGGGGGUUUUGCGCCGUAGCUAACGCAUUAAGUGCCCCGCCUGGGGAGUACGGCCGCAAGGCUAAAACUCAAAGGAAUUGACGGGGGCCCGCACAAGCGGCGGAGCAUGCGGAUUAAUUCGAUGCAACGCGAAGAACCUUACCAAGGCUUGACAUGC
rnacentral:rRNA from 1 species